UUGCCGACCGACCGACCGACCCCUCGCCCUGCCUACCCGGUCCGGACCCAGCCCCAACCCACCACCACCAGCUCCACUUCCCUCCGGUUUCCGCCGCCCGCCGAAGCCGCCUCCGGCAAGGACCCGGCCGGUGCCACCGCCCCUUCCCUGGUGGCCCGCCCACGGCCAGGCGCGCCCUGUCCUCCCUCCCGGCGCUCUGGCCGUGGCUCGCCGGUGCGCUCCUCCUCCCUUCGCCCGGGGCCCCGGGCCCUGCCUCCCGCCUCGCCUCGCCGCGCCUCCUCGCGCCCGGUUUGGAUUCGCUCAUCCUCCAUUCGCCGCCCGUUUAGGUUUCAACCGCGCCUGAUUUGGUUCCUGCUCGUGCUCGAUUCGUCAGUUUGGAGUCGCGGUUCGCUUCGAUUUUGCUCGCCCUCGCCGUCGCCCGUUUGGGGUUGCCGUCCGGUUCAAUUUUGCUCGCCGCCUUCAUCCAUUUAGAGUCGCCGUUCGGUUCGAUUUUGCUCGCCCUCGCCGUCGUCCGUGUGGAGUCGCGUCUGGUUCGAUCUUGGUCGUCUUCGCCGUCGUCCGUGUAGAGUCGCGUCCGAUUCGAUUUUGCUCGUCGUCGCAGCGUCCGUGUAGAGUCGCGUCCGGUUCGAUUUCGCUCGUCCUCGCCGUUGUCCCGAUGCGCUCGCGUGUUCUUGGUCCGUGUCGCCUCGUCGGGGGUCUCCGUCUCGUUUGCUGCGUUGCUUAUGUUCCCAAUGUCUGUCUUUCCAUAUAUGGGGAUGCGUUCGUGCAAACCAUGUAGGCCGUGGUGUGUUUAUAGUAUCUAUGGUGUGUUCUACACUAUCUGAUGUGGAAUGUAGAAAUAUUGAUAUCACUUCUGUGCUAGUAUACUAGAUAUGGUGUGUUUUAUCCAAGUUAUUAACCACAUCUCUUACAAAUUUUCCUUGAGAUGGUACAUGUUUAUAUGCCGGGAGUGAUUGAUGUCUUGACGAAUAUAAUCAUUUAUGCUAACUUGGUAUUGGUAGUUCCUGAGGUAACACAACAGUAUUUGUUUAGUGCAGACAAUUGACUAUUCUUUUUUUUGAACUUUUUUGUGAUAUGUGUGUUAUGUGGAUAUCAUAUUCUAAUGCUUUUCUAAGUAUUUAAGGUACAACCUUGUUUAUUGAGAUAUGACCAUCAAUUCUUGCUGUAAAAUAUUGAAUAUUUGCAUGAAAAUCAUAUAAAGAGUCAUUUACUAGUCAUUUGUUUCUUUUGCAGAUAAGUGCGAGAAGGCACUAUAAACUUCAAGAUUCGGACUAAGUGGCUAAGAGAACGAAGAAGAGGAGGAAGAAUGGACUUGUGCGAGAAGAAACGAAGUAACCAGGGGGCUAACUAUUGAAGAGAGGAUCAUCUUGUGCUAAAAGUAAAGAAGGAGGGGGGCCGAAUUAAAAAAAGGUGACAGAUGGAGGAGGGGAUAAAAUCCCUAGCCGCCUCCUUCGUUCCCCUUUGAGCCUAGCACACAUCUCUCUCCCUCAUCCCUCCUUCUCCACAUCCGGCCGCCGCCGCGGCCAGGCCGGCGUGGCGGCGCGCCAUCCAUCACCAGCACCACCGCACCCCAGCGCGCCACCAACACCUCCACCAUCGCCCUGCGCCUCCAUCCAUCACCUGCGCCAUCCAUCCACCGCCAUCCACAGCGCCGCCUCAUCACCUCACGCCGCCGCCCAUCCAUCUCCUUGCUGCUCCUCUCUCUCACACAACUCCUGCUGCUGUGCUUCUUCCUCUUUUCCUAACCUUGCUGCUGCUCAGAACCUUAACUUGUUGCUGCCACUUCUUCUCUGAACCCAACACUGCUAGUUGCUGCUCCUAAUCUUCUCUGAACCCCAGCCUGCUGCUCUUGCUUCCUCCCUUACCUCUGCUGCUGCUCCUUCCUAUGCGCCCCUGCUGCUCUUCUUGCGCCCAAGCUACUGCUCCUUCUUCUCUUCCUCUGCUGUUGCUCUCUCAACCCUCCACGCUGCAGCUGCUGCUCUGAACUCCAACCUCCUGCUGUCUCUCUUCUCUGAACUUCUCCUUUCUUUACUGCUGCGUGUGUGUGUAAUUUUGCGAACUAUUAGUGUUGAGACUUGAUCAACUAGAUUUUGUACUAGUGCAAUAUUUGUGCCCUGUCCGUUAGUUAGUGAUUUGUAAAACUUCAGAUUGCUUCUUGUGAAUUAUGUGUUGAACUUUAAGGAUGGUUGAUAGCUCCAGUGCAUGUGAUUUUUAUAUUGUCUCAGUUUCUUGUGAUAAAUGUACUUGUGAAUUGUGAUGUGAAGCAUUUCUAGUCUGUAGUAUAAUAUUGUUUCUUCCAUCUUCUUACAUGUUAGAUGGUUAUAUGUGUACAUGUCUUGCAUCUUCUCGGUGUGUAUUUUAAUUCCUCAAGUAUAAUAAAAAUACCAAAAAGACAGUGAAGAAAAUCUGAACCUUCCUUUGCCUUUUUUUGCAUUUUCUUUGGUGACGAUCUUUGGGUACAACCUUGUUAGUUUAGUUUUUAUUUUCUGCAUUCUUCUCUUAAAAUUGUGUUACCUAGCUUUAGCCGAGCAUAGUCGUCGUCGCCUAGUCCCUGUGGAGAAUACGACAUCCGUAGUUUGGGGCGUAAAAAAACCCCGCUAUACUUUCUUUUGAUCAUUUUGGCGCCGUUGCCGGGGACUAGCGUCGUGUGACUGUGUUAGGCUAUAGACUAGGUUUUUCUUCUUUUUCUAGUUUGUGCCAUAUAUUUGUGAUAUAUCUCUAACUCCUAACCCUUGUUCUAGUUUAUUUUCUCUUUGUUUUCUUUUCCUUUUUGCAGGUUAGAACUAUCUUCUCGGUUAUGGCUUACUAUUCAGAUCAUCAGGCUUAUGCGAGCAACACUACAAACAGCACGGAAAGUAUUCAAGAACUGAUAAUUAAGAUUUCCCAUCAAUUAGAUGAUUUAGCUCGGCAGCGAGAGGUAGUUUUUGAGGAUAGGCCUAGCUCUUAUGAUCCUUACUCUAGAGGUCAUCCUUAUGUUGCUCCUACAUGCCAUAUUUGUGGAUUUCAGGGCCAUUCACCCGCUGAAUGUCAGCGUGGUUACUCUCACCCUCCCGAUUGUUAUGGCAUGAGCUUCGCCCCACAGCCUAGCUCAUACCAAAACAAUUACACACAUGGGUGGCCUGAAAACCAGAAUAUGUCAUAUAGGAGCAAUAACCCUGAGAUCUCAUCGUUUGCCUCUAGUUAUCCAAUGCAGGGAGUUAGGUAUGAAGAGGAGAGCCACAACUAUGCUCCGCAACAGUUUUAUUCACCUCCUACUCAUAUACCGCAGCACCAGGAGAUGUGUCCAAUGGAGUUAAAUGGUCCUCCAUUUGGGCAACCGACAACUCCAGCACCUGAUUAGUCAUUAGUGCAAUCUCAUGUGCAAGUGCCCACACAAGAUGAGUUCGAUGACAUAGACAAGCUCACACUUUUGAGUCUCGAGUUCACUUGGAGUGCCGAGGAUGAUCCUAUUAGGAAGGUUAUACUAGAGGAAAUGAAGAAGAUCAAGAGUGGGAAUGAGCUAGUGGAAGAAGUAAAGAAGAUUGAGAAGAACAUAAACGCUGGCAGUACUAUUUCUUCACAGCUUGAGUUGAGUAAUUCUGGAAUUCUCCUUGAUACACGUGAGGUUCCAAUACCGUCACAUCCAGCUGAGCAAGAUAGCAAGUGCCUUGAGCAAGAGAUACCUCAGAUUGAAGAAGAUGAACUAGAAGACAAGGAACAAGAUGAUCAAGAGCUGCAAUUCCCAAGUGAUCAAGUUGAAGACUCGUCAUCUACUACUCCUGAAGAAGUAAAAGAAGCUGUUGUAGAUGAAGAUGAAGAACAUGAGAUUCAUUUGCCUAUUGUCAUACCAGAGCGUGAUGUGUCAGGUUUACCCAAUCCUCUCGAUGACUUGCGUCCUUAUGAUUCCUUUGCUUCUACCUUGCAUUGCAUGAUGCCAUCUGUUAAAGUAGAUUUGAAAAAGUAUUUGCUUGGAUAUGAUUAUAUAUACCCUGUUAGUGGCAUUACUCACAUUAAUGAUGAUCACAGUUACUUUCCUCGUGCUAGACCUAUGCUUAAUGAAACAUAUCAUUCUUAUGCUAGUCUUGAGCUUAAUGAAAAAUAUCAUCCUCAUGUUAGUGUUGACUUUGCUGAUUUCUACCAUCCUAAACAUGUGCUUUAUAGCUAUGCUUAUGUAAUUGGAUAUUCGAUUGGUGACUUGGAGGGUAUUAUCCCUACCACUUGCAUUGUCUCUUUCGUUGAGUGCUCUUUCAGGUUGUUGCUUGUGCACGAUCCACUACAUGCUGAUCAAGUUCGAGAUGACAUUCCCUGGGACCCCGGUGGACCCAUGGCAUGGGGAUGAGAAGCAAGGGGCACAUACGAAGAAGAGAGAAGCUGGAGCAGGCAUGAGGAUAGGGAAGCAAUAGGAGAGGAGUCACAAUGCACGAGGAAGCAAAGGAGAGGAGCUGCAGUUGGUGAGGUGAUCGAGCGAGUGCUACAUGAUCAAAGCCCGAUAAGUGCGAGAAGGCACUAUAAACUUCAAGAUCCGGACUAAGUGGCUAAGAGAACGAAGAAGAGGAGGAAGAAUGGGCUUGUGCGAGAAGAAAGGAAGUAACCAGGGGGCUAACUAUUGAAGAGAGGAUCAUCUUGUGCUAAAAGUAAAGAAGGAGGGGGGCCGAAUUAAAAAAGGUGACAGAUCGGAAGAGGGGAUAAAAUCCCUAGCCGCCUCCUUCGUUCCCCUUUGAGCCUAGCACACAUCUCUCUCCCUCAUCCCUCCUUCUCCACAUCCGGCCGCCACCGCGGCCAGGCCGGCGUGGCGGCGUGCCAUCCAUCACCAGCACCACCGCACCCCAGCGCGCCACCAACACCUCCACCAUCGCCCUGCGCCUCCAUCCAUCACCUGCGCCAUCCAUCCACCGCCAUCCACAGCGCCGCCUCAUCACCUCACGCCGCCGCCCAUCCAUCUCCUUGCUGCUCCUCUCUCUCACACAACUCCUGCUGCUGUGCUUCUUCCUCUUUUCCUAACCUUGCUGCUGCUCAGAACCUUAACUUGUUGCUGCCACUUCUUCUCUGAACCCAACACUGCUAGUUGCUGCUCCUAAUCUUCUCUGAACCCCAGCCUGCUGCUCUUGCUUCCUCCCUUACCUCUGCUGCUGCUCCUUCCUAUGCGCCCCUGCUGCUCUUCUUGCGCCCAAGCUACUGCUCCUUCUUCUCUUCCUCUGCUGUUGCUCUCUCAACCCUCCACGCUGCAGCUGCUGCUCUGAACUCCAACCUCCUGCUGUCUCUCUUCUCUGAACUUCUCCUUUCUUUACUGCUGCGUGUGUGUGUAAUUUUGCGAACUAUUAGUGUUGAGACUUGAUCAACUAGAUUUUGUACUAGUGCAAUAUUUGUGCCCUGUCCGUUAGUUAGUGAUUUGUAAAACUUCAGAUUGCUUCUUGUGAAUUAUGUGUUGAACUUUAAGGAUGGUUGAUAGCUCCAGUGCAUGUGAUUUUUAUA